rnacentral:rRNA from 1 species
UACGUAGGGGGCUAGCGUUGUCCGGAAUCAUUGGGCGUAAAGAGCGUGUAGGCGGCUUGGUAAGUCCGCUGUGAAAGUCCAGGGCUCAACCCUGGAAUGCCAGUGGAUACUGUCAAGCUAGAGUCCGGAAGAGGAGAGUGGAAUUCCCGGUGUAGCGGUGAAAUGCGCAGAUAUCGGGAAGAACACCCGUGGCGAAGGCGGCUCUCUGGGACGGUACUGACGCUGAGACGCGAAAGCGUGGGGAGCGAACAGG